UGCGCAGGCGGUUAUAUAAGACAGAUGUGAAAUCCCCGGGCUCAACCUGGGAACUGCAUUUGUGACUGUAUAGCUAGAGUACGGCAGAGGGGGAGUGGAAUUCCGCGUGUAGCAGUGAAAUGCGUAGAUAUGCGGAGGAACACCGAUGGCGAAGGCAAUCCCCUGGGCCUGUACUGACGCUCAUGCACGAAAGCGUGGGGAGCAAACA
rnacentral:rRNA from 1 species